AGGAGGAACAACCACAGUGGUGGCGGCCAGCUCUGGAGCCCUGGCUUCAGCUCCCGCAGUAACUAAUGAGCUCUCAGUCUGCAGGGGCCUGGAGGCUCCAGGGGCGG
rnacentral:pre_miRNA from 1 species